rnacentral:rRNA from 1 species
AACGAACGCUGGCGGCAUGCCUAACACAUGCAAGUCGAACGAUGCUUUCGGGCAUAGUGGCGCACGGGUGCGUAACGCGUGGGAAUCUGCCCUGGGGUUCGGGAUAACAGCGGGAAACUGCUGCUAAUACCGGAUGAUAUCGCGAGAUCAAAGAUUUAUCGCCCUGGGAUGAGCCCGCGUCGGAUUAGGUAGUUGGUGGGGUAAGAGCCUACCAAGCCGACGAUCCGUAGCUGGUCUGAGAGGAUGAUCAGCCACACUGGGACUGAGACACGGCCCAGACUCCUACGGGAGGCAGCAGUGGGGAAUAUUGGACAAUGGGCGCAAGCCUGAUCCAGCAAUGCCGCGUGAGUGAUGAAGGCCUUAGGGUUGUAAAGCUCUUUUACCCGGGAUGAUAAUGACAGUACCGGGAGAAUAAGCCCCGGCUAACUCCGUG